rnacentral:rRNA from 1 species
AUUGAACGCUGGCGGAAUGCUUUACACAUGCAAGUCGAACGGCAGCACGGACUUCGGUCUGGUGGCGAGUGGCGAACGGGUGAGUAAUGUAUCGGAACGUGCCCAGUCGUGGGGGAUGACGUCGUGAAAAUUACGCUAAUACCGCAUACGAUCUAUGGAUGAAAGCGGGGGAUCGCAAGACCUCGCGCGAAUGGAUCGGCCGAUAUCAGAUUAGGUAGUUGGUGGGGUAAAGGCCCACCAAGCCAACGAUCUGUAGCUGGUCUGAGAGGACGACCAGCCACACUGGAACUGAGACGCGGUCCAGACUCCUACGGGAGGCAGCAGUGGGGAAUUUUGGACAAUGGGCGAAAGCCUGAUCCAGCCAUUCCGCGUGCAGGAUGAAGGCCCUCGGGUUGUAAACUGCUUUUGUACAGAACGAAAAGGUUUCUACUAAUACUAGGAGCUCAUGACGGUACUGUAAGAAUAAGCACCGGCUAACUACGUGCCAGCCGCCGCGGUAA